GAUGAAGAACGUAGCGAAAUGCGAUACGUAAUGUGAAUUGCAGAAUUCAGUGAAUCAUCGAGUCGUUGAACGCACAUUGCGCCCCCUGGUAUUCCGGGGGGCAUGCCUGUCCGAGCGUCAUUGCUGCCCUCAAGCACGGCUUGUGUGUUGGGCCUCCGUCCUCCUCCCGGGGGACGGGCCCGAAAGGCAGCGGCGGCACCGCGUCCGGUCCUCGAGCGUAUGGGGCUUCGUCACCCGCUCUUGUAGGCCCGGCCGGCGCUUGCCGACACAUCAAUCUUUUUUCCAGGUUGACCUCGGAUCAGGUAGGGAUACCCGCUGAACUUAAGCAUAUCAAUAAGCGGAGGA
rnacentral:misc_RNA from 1 species